UACGUAGGCAGCGAGCGUUGUUCGGAGUUACUGGGCGUAAAGCGUGCGUAGGCGGUGUCUUAAGUUUGUUGUGAAAUCUCCCGGCUUAACCGGGAGGGUGCGGCGAAUACUGAGAUGCUGGAGUGCGGGAGAGGUAAGCGGAAUUCCCGGUGUAGCGGUGAAAUGCGUAGAUAUCAUGAGGAAGACCAGUGGCGAAGGCGGGUCUCUGGACAGUUCCUGACACUGAGACACGAAGGCCAGGGGAGCAAACGGG
rnacentral:rRNA from 1 species